rnacentral:lncRNA from 1 species
AUGAAAUUGCAUCAGAAUGACCUGCUCACCCCUGACAUAGUUCAUAUAUCUGUGAUCUCUGUCUCUGUAGAUAAAAAUCUAUUUCUUCUGUGUGUGUCUGAAGAUCCUGAACAGAGUCAAUCCCCACUAACCAAGCAAAUGGAGAGAGCAGAUAGCCCAGAUACAGCCAAACUCAGAAGAGUAAAAAACAGGCUGAAGGAAAUGGUACCUGCAAUUGCUAUGCUGAAGGAGUGCUGUUCCAUCCCAAGGCAGCCCAGAGCAGAGCUGUGGUCCAAGCAAAGGGGAAAGUCAAGCACAAGCAGAGGCAUAAGAGG